rnacentral:rRNA from 1 species
UACGUAGGGUGCAAGCGUUGUCCGGAAUUAUUGGGCGUAAAGAGCGUGUAGGCGGCCAGGUAGGUCUGGUGUGAAAACUCGAGGCUCAACCUCGAGACGUCGGCGGAAACCAUCUGGCUAGAGUCCGGAAGAGGAGAGUGGAAUUCCUGGUGUAGCGGUGAAAUGCGCAGAUAUCAGGAAGAACACCCGUGGCGAAGGCGGCUCUCUGGGACGGUACUGACGCUGAGACGCGAAAGCGUGGGGAGCGAACAGG